GAUGAACGCUGGCGGCAUGCCUAACGCAUGCAAGUCGAUCGGUAAGGCUCUUCGGAGUACACGAGAGGCGGACGGCUGAGUAACGCGUAGGAACACACCCUGCAGUGAGGGAUAAGCCACGGAAGGGGGUUUAAAUACGGCAUACGGCUUCGGAUUAAAACAUUUAUGCGCUGAAGGAGUGGCCUGCGUCAUAUUAGAUAGUUGGUGAGGUAAUGGCUCACCAAGUCGAUGAUGUGUAGCUGGUCUGAGAGGAUGAUCAGCCAGACUGGAACUGAGACACGGUCCAGACUCCUACGGGAGGCAGCAGUGAGGAAUAUUUCACAAUGAGCGAAAGCUUGAUGGAGCAAUGCCGCGUGCAGGAUGAAGGCCCUCGGGUUGUAAACUGCUUUUAUAAGAGAAGAUUAUGACGGUAACUUAUGAAUAAGGGACGGCUAACUACGUG
rnacentral:rRNA from 1 species